GUAGGUGGCAAGCGUUGUCCGGAAUUAUUGGGCGUAAAGCGCGCGCAGGCGGUUCUUUAAGUCUGAUGUGAAAGCCCACGGCUCAACCGUGGAGGGUCAUUGGAAACUGGAGAACUUGUGUACAGAAGAGGAAAGCGGAAUUCCACGUGUAGCGGUGAAAUGCGUAGAGAUGUGGAGGAACACCAGUGGCGAAGGCGGCUUUCUGGUCUGUAACUGACGCUGAGGCGCGAAAGCGUGGGGAGCAAACAGGAUUAGAUACCCUGGUAGUCCACGCCGUAAACGAUGAGUGCUAAGUGUUAGGGGGGUUUCCGCCCCCCUUAGUGCUGCAGCUAACGCAUUAAGCACUCCGCCUGGGAGUACGGCCGCAAGGCUG
rnacentral:rRNA from 1 species